rnacentral:rRNA from 2 species
GAGUUUGAUCCUGGCUCAGGAUGAACGCUGGCGGCGUGCUUAACACAUGCAAGUCGAGCGGAGUCAUAGUAGAAAGAUCUUCGGAAAUGGAAAUUAUGUACUUAGCGGCGGACGGGUGCGUAACGCGUGGGUAAUCUGCCCUUAUCAUCGGGAUAACACAACGAAAGAUGUGCUAAUACCGAAUAACAUGCAUUUUCGGCAUCGAAGAUGUAUCAAAGUGUUAGCGGAUAAGGAUGAGCCUGCGUCUGAUUAGCUAGUUGGUGGGGUAAUGGCCUACCAAGGCGACGAUCAGUAGCCGACCUGAGAGGGUGAUCGGCCACACUGGAACUGAGACACGGUCCAGACUCCUACGGGAGGCAGCAGUGGGGAAUAUUGCACAAUGGGCGCAAGCCUGAUGCAGCAACGCCGCGUGAGCGAUGAAGGUCUUCGGAUCGUAAAGCUCUGUCGCAUGGGAAGAUAAUGACGUACCAUGUGAGGAGCCCCGCA